AAAGGUAAUCAUGAAGGAUUCGGAUUUCCUCGAGAAGCAAAAAUAACAAUGAGAAUAAAAAAUUGGAUUUCUUGAUGAUGGAACCGGGAUUAAUAAUGGGUCAGCUGCAGAUGCUAUUCAUUCAAAUCAGAGUCUUCCAGAGGGUUGGCCCAAAACCAGUGAUGGAUCAUCCGUGAAGGAAUAUGAAGUUGUGUUUGCUAACGAAGCAGUGACCCAGAACAGACUGGUCAUGUGUAUAUGGUCCUCUUAAGGUAUGGUAAAUAAGCAUGCAAGUUUUCAUCAAGUGUGCUCGAGAAUCUCAAAUAGUUAGGGCAAAAGGAAAAUAUGUGAUAUCUCGUUUGCACCUCGCAAAUUGCAAUGAGGUGGGGACUGGAAAGGAAACAGAUCAGAAAGACUGGAUUUCACGAGAAAUAAGAUUACAUUGGACAGCAGAUAGAAAAAAUCAUCUACCUGAAGAAGCAGAAGUUCAAUUCCAUGUUAUUGUUCACAUUGAAUUAUACAUUCUAGCCUUCUGUACA